rnacentral:tRNA from 1 species
UCCCUGGGAGUCCAGUGGUGAGGACUUGUUGCUUUCACUGUGGAGGCCUGGGUUCAAUCCCUGGUCAGGGAA